CCAUUUUGAGAGUGCUUUAAUUAACAAUCGAACUUGUAACUUCAGUUUAAACAAAACAGAAAUCUUAAUUGUUAACCAAAAUAACCCUUGAACUUGAGUUUUAAAAUGUCAUAGUUUGGGAUUCUUAGUUCUCUCUCUCUCUCCCUUCAUCUCUAAUAUGCAAAGAGCCCAGAAAGGUGCAAAACUUCAGAGAGGCAUCAGAAUCAAAGCUGAACAGUUGGAUUCAAAUUGCAGAGGAAGAAAAGGAACAUCUCGGAGAAUCGCGAGGGAUCUGACUGUCGAUAUUGCUUUCAAUCAGCUUGAGCCCCUGCUGCAUUUUAAAUGUAGUUUUCUAGAGCCUACAUGAUAUGUGAUAGUGGAAGAG
rnacentral:lncRNA from 1 species